GAUGAACGCUAGCGGCAGGCCUAACACAUGCAAGUCGAGGGAGAAGCCCUUUCGGGGGCAGAAACCGGCGCACGGGUGCGUAACGCGUAUGCAACCUACCUUUCACAGGGGGAUAGCCCGAAGAAAUUUGGAUUAAUACCCCAUAAUAUUAUUGGAUGGCAUCAUUUGAUAAUUAAAACUGCGGUGGUGAAAGAUGGGCAUGCGUCCUAUUAGCUAGUUGGAGUGGUAACGGCACCCCAAGGCUACGAUAGGUAGGGGUCCUGAGAGGGGGAUCCCCCACACUGGUACUGGGACAAGACCCAGACCCCAGGGGGAGGAAGGGGUGAGGAAAAUUGGGCAAGGGGCGGAAGACAGAACCAGCCAGGCCGGGUGGAGGAAAAAUGCUUUUGGGGUUUUAAACUGUUUUUAAAAGGGAAAAAAAGGGCGUACGUGGACGUUGUUGCCGGACCCAAAUAAAAAAGCAUGGCCAAACUCGUG
rnacentral:rRNA from 1 species